rnacentral:rRNA from 1 species
UACAGAGGUCUCAAGCGUUGUUCGGAUUCAUUGGGCGUAAAGGGUGCGUAGGCGGCGCGGUAAGUCGGGUGUGAAAUCUUGGAGCUUAACUCCGAAACUGCAUUCGAUACUGCCGUGCUUGAGGACUGGAGAGGAGACUGGAAUUUACGGUGUAGCGGUGAAGUGCGUAGAUAUCGUAAGGAAGACCAGUGGCGAAGGCGGGUCUCUGGACAGUUCCUGACGCUGAGGCACGAAGGUCAGGGGAGCAAACGGG